AUGGGCAAAGUUUCUGAACCGUGU
rnacentral:miRNA from 1 species